UUUUCAGUUAUUCCCAAUAUAUGAUAAUUGUGUUUUUUUUUGUAAUUUACUUUUAAAACUGAGGAAUAUUAUUUGAGCCAUUUAUGCUAGUUGUGAAUGUUGGCACCGCUGUCGUUAUCAUAAAAUAGCUAUAAAAGAUUUCCUAUGAUAGACUCACUGACCGAAUAAUAGGGAAAACCUAAGAUUUUUUUUUUUUUUUUGAUCUUAAGGGAAAACCUAAGAAUAUUGUACUGAAACCAACUGAUAUGCUCAUAACAUCAAGAGAAACAGUCACAACCACAAAAGUAAAACUCUUUGAUGCUAUGAAAUUAACACAUGUGAAAAAACCCCACACAUAUAUUGAUAUGAAAACAGCUAAAGUUAACACAUAUGUAAAGUUAAUUUUUAUUCAUUAUUCAAUUUUCCAUUAUAAAAUGGAGUAGGAUUAGAGUAAACUAUAUAUAUAUAUCUUUAUAUAUAUAUAAAGUUAAGUUUGCUGUCUCCUUAGGGCCUCCACGUUGGAUUACACCUCACUAAUUCGGAUGCUGUCAAGCUGACACGUGUCCACUUUAAAAAAACACAACGUUUUAUUAAGGCGCUUAUAAACUCUGCUUUCCAUAGACAGCACCAGCCGCAAAUUUUUUAAAGGGUUUAGUGUUUUUCCACGACGAAUCGAAGAGUCAUUUUCUUCUUUAAUCUCUUGAGUAUAUAUAUUCCUCUAAAAUGGCUAAUUCAUCAAUCCUUUUCCUUUGAUUAAUUUUGUCGAAAUUAGACAUUCUGUAAACAACGUCUCCUUUUGGAGACUCCGCCAUACAAACUCACCGAUAGAAAAUUCUGGAAACGUAACGUUUCCAAUCGUCACCUUCGAUGGACUCAUUAACAAGAUCUUUACUUCCCUUCUCAGAAUUUUUGACUAUAAAAGGUAUGUCUUAACCCCUGGAUUUCAUCAGUAUUAUCCUCUCAAUCACUAGCUUUUCAAACAUCCCAGUGAUAACAAUGAUUUCGAUUUUGGUUUCUGGGAAAUGAUUUCAAUUUUGGUUUUGUUUGUUAACUUAGCUUACAUUUGUUCAUGUAUAGAUUAUCAUUUUUUAUUCCAGAGUUUUUGUGUAUCGAUGAAGAUUUAGAUUUGUUUGUUGAUCUCUUUGAUUGUUCCUUUUGAUUUCAUCAGUUUCGUCACCGGCUUGAUCGGAAAUCAAGUAAGCAAAUCACGAACAGGGAGAGAUGGGUUUAGGGUUUGAUCUUGGACUCGAUAAGGAUGAUGAACCAGAUCCAUAUACUCGCGGAUAUGGUAGUUACUUAGCCUCGGACCCGAUAUGCUGCUUUUUUGAAAAAAGGCUCUUACUUGGCUUAGACCAUUGUGGAAUAAAGAUCUGAUUCUUUUUUUUAAUGUCCUCAACUUCUCCCAUCUUUAAUGCUGUAGCCUGUAGCCUGUAGCCUGUAUUUCCUGUACUCUCCAGUCUCUUUGUUAUGUAGCUAAGUGCUGGUCUUCUCAUCAUCAGAUGUUGUGGUCACUUCUUGGAAGUAAAGGGAGUGCUGUACAGUUAUGGACAUGGCUUCUCAAGGUUUUGCAGCGAAACUUACCAAGUCCCAAGCCAAACAAAUAACAGAUUUACCAGAAGUUGUUCAUGUCACACUUGAUAGUUUAUAUGAACCUUUCUGCUGCCAAUCCGAAAAAUCUUAAUAUGGUGAAGAAGUUAUCAUUGGCAAUGUUAACACAGGAGUGUGGCCAAAAUCUGAAGUCUUUAACGACAAUGGGAUCGGAGGGCUGCCAAAACGCUGGGAAGGAGGUUGUUAAUCACGAGAGGAUUUCAACUCCUGCAACGAAAAGCUCAUAAGAGCCAAAUAUUUAACCAAUGGGUUCCACCCAUUCCUGGAACACACUUUGCAUAUUUUCUUAAUUUUUGUCGAGAGGUAUUUUUUCCAAGUACCAUCUCCAUCUAAACGUUUUCUUUGAUUUUCAAAGGGCACUGACCAUGUUAUAGUUAUUUUGGUCCUCAUGAUUUGUGAAAUUACCAAUUAGGUUUACCCAUUAUGAGAUGCCUUUACAUUUUUGUAAAAGAUUUUGCUGGAAAUGAAUCUUAAAGGAAAGACACGAGACCAUGUUAACUUUUAAA